CAAGACAACCGUGCAAGAAGCAGGUGUCGCCCAAAGAAGAAGGUGCACGGGUACAGGAAGUACUUCGGCAAUGAUGAAUUCACUCGAAAGGUAAGCUUCCACGAAACUCCCUUUUAUCUUCUAUUAAAACAGGAAAACUCAAAAAAAAAAUAGAUCGAUAGUAUUCUCGAGCUUUAUCCCCAGCCAAUCAGCAUUAGGGUUUUAAACCCUAAACUGAAUUUUUCUUUCAGCCAGCAUUAGGGUUUUAAACUCUAAACUGAGCUUUUCCAUGCAAUCAGCAUUAGGGUUUUAAAACCCUAAACUGAAUUUUCCUUUCAGCCAGCAUUAGGGUUUUAAACCCUAAACUGAGCUUCUUCAUGCAAUCAGCAUUAGGGUUUUAAACCCUAAACUGAAUUUUCCUUUCAGCCAGCAUUAGAGUUUUAAACUCUAAACUGAGCUUUUCCAUGCAAUCAGCAUUAGGGUUUUAAACCCUAAACUGAAUUUUCCUUUCAGCCAGCAUUAGAGUUUUAAACUCUAAACUGAGCUUUUCCAUGCAAUCAGCAUUAGGGUUUUAAACCCUAAACUGAAUUUUCUUUUCAGCCAGCAUUAGAGUUUUAAACUCUAAACUGAGCUUUUCCAUGCAAUCAGCAUUAGGGUUUUAAACCCUAAACUGAAUUUUCUUUUCAGCCAGCAUUAGAGUUUUAAACCUUAAACUGAGCUUUUCCAUGCAAUCAGCAUUAGGGUUUUAAACCCUAAACUGAAUUUUCUUUUCUGCCAGCAUUAGAGUUUUAAACUAUAAACUGAGCUUUUCCAUGCAAUCAGCAUUAGGGUUUUAAACCCUAAACUGAAUUUUCCUUUCAGCCAACAUUAGAGUUUUAAACUCUAAACUGAGCUUUUCCAUGCAAUCAGCAUUAUGGUUUUAAACCCUAAACUGAAUUUUCCUUUCAGCCAACAUUAGAGUUUUAAACUUUAAACUGAGCUUUUCCAUGCAAUCAGCAUUAGGGUUUUAAACCCUAAACUGAAUUUUCCUUUCAGCCAGCAUUAGAGUUUUAAACUCUAAACUGAGCUUUUCCAUGCAAUCAGCAUUAGGGUUUUAAACCCUAAACUGAAUUUUCCUUUCAGCCAGCAUUAGAGUUUUAAACUCUAAACUGAGCUUUUCCAUG
rnacentral:lncRNA from 1 species